ACUCAAAUGAAUUGACGGGGGCUCACACAAGCGGUGGAGCAUGUGGCUUAAUUCGAGGCAACGCGAAGAACCUUAUCCUGGAUUUGACAUGGUCGGAUUAGUGGGCGGAAACGUCCAUGACGCCUUCGGGUGGAACGAUCACAGGUGCUGCAUGGCUGUCGUCAGCUCGUGUCGUGAGAUGUCGCGUUAAGUCGCUAAACGAGCGAAACCCCUGUCCCUAGUUGCCAGCGCGUCAUGGCGGGGACUCUAGGGAGACCGCCGGCGUCAAGCCGGAGGAAGGCGGGGAUGACGUCAAGUCCUCAUGGCCUUUAUGUCCAGGGCUGCACACGUGCUACAAUGGCGCACACAAUGGGCUGCGAAGUCGCGAGACGGAGCCAAUCCCACAAAUUGCGCCCCAGUUCGGAUUGCAGGCUGCAACUCGCCUGCAUGAAGCCGGAAUCGCUAGUAAUCGCCGGUCAGCAUUACGGCGGUGAAUGUGUUCCUGAGCCUUGCACACACCGCCCGU
rnacentral:rRNA from 1 species